UUCGGUGAAAUCUUCCAAAUUUUUUUACAGUACAUUAAACCCGGUGGGGUACGAAUUUCAAACAUGCACGAAAAAAGUAGGGUUUGUAAAAGCAUUUUUCUUUUUAGAUUUUUGCAAAUUUAUGUCUUUUAGCACUGCGGAAAAACUGGUCAGAUAGAUUUUCCUGAAAAAUGAGCUCCAACUAGAGUAAAAGUAUUUAUUACCCGUCUGCCAAAUUUUACGAAAUUUCACUGAAGGAAACGCGAGAAAAUUGCCACCUUAAGUUGGGUACCACUGGGUUCUUCGUUUGCCGAAUCGAACGUUCUAUGUUCUUAGAUUGCAGUUGAUUCGUUUGUGAUAAGAAAUGGCAGAUUAACUCCUUUUUUACGAAUAAGUAAUAAUCUUGAACGAAUGAGAUACUGGACGCUUUCCAUUCAACCAGAAAUUCUGGAAUGCAGAUGGUACUACUGGAGUUUCCUUGGAAACUGCUUCAUUUCCGAAAUGCGAACCGUUUAAUAAAAAAAAAAUUCUGGACAUUCCAGGGAGAAAAUUGAAUGGAACUGAAGUUCUCGGUCAGAAAUGGUCUAAAUUUAGGUAUACCUCAGGAGGUUGUGCUCUUUUUCCGGCGAGUUUUGAAAAAGCUUUUCCAUUCGCCACUGGAAAUUUCCGGAAAUGCAGGCCGGACUUUUUGGUCUAAUGGAAAUCGCCAGUUGUUUUAAAACACGUUCAUUUAUUUUCAUUUCACUGAAAUGAUUGCAACGAUAACUUUUACUAAAAAUUAUCUAACUGUCGAGAGGAGGCAGAGACUUCAGCUAAAAGUAGUUUUACUGACUCGACAAAGAAACGAAGGUCGAAGAUUGACUUAACUGUAUGUAUCGUGCAUACAUGUAUGUAUGCCUCAGGUUAUCUGCUGUAAUUCAUUUGUGAUAUUAGUCGUAAAAGGUGCGUGGGAGGCCUCAAAAUAAAGAGCAAUAAUGGUCUCCCCAAUGGGCUUCAGAUUUCAUAGAUAUAUUUUUUGCUCAAGUACAUGACCAUCAACUCAUCGAAGUACUUGUACAUCAUUAUUUUAGCAAUCCUCUUUCUUUCCUCGUUUGACAACAAUUUUCAUUAUCUCUGAUCUCAGAAGAAAUGCCAGGAUAUUUUUACUGUGUAAGCUUCGGUGUCUGAAAAUGUUUAGUGACUGGCAACGCUUGCUGUUAAUAGUCUAUAAACGGUUUAAUUGAAAACAAAAUGCCUCCUGUGGUUUCUAGAAGAAGUAACAGUUUUUCCUACCAACACAUUAAAAUCAAAGACUUAACGAAAGUCAGCUGUCAUCAAUAAUUAAAUCUUUUAGAAUAGAAGCAAUUUUUCAGACAGGUUUUGCGGUAGUCAGUGCUUUGAAAAGACAUUAAAGAUAUAUAUUUGCUUGUAAUUAUUCCGACUUUUUGGUUUUAACCAUUAAUACCGGUUUGUCAAGAGCUAAGCAGGGUCACCAAACAAUUAAGUAAAAAAUUUUGUUUCGAAAUAUUAUCCAUUAAAAAAUAUAAAUAGGGAACGAUAAAGAUCGAGAUUGACAAUGAAGCCCAACGCAAUGCAAAAAGCCUAUUAUUGUUAAGCUCCAUUCAAAUACAGUUGCUUGCUGCGGGCGCGUUCAUUUCAUUUGUUAAGUUGUUUAUUAGAACGGAAGGCUUCGUUUUGCACUAGUUCAUCCGAAGAAAGCCAUUUGGUGGGAAUUCAUUAAAAUUCUUGAACUACGAAGCAAACAGCAAUGCACCGAGAACUGUAAUUGGUUAGUUUCGAUUAGCAAACAUUGCAGGGAGUUAAAUGGCGGAACCGUUUAUACAAAUCGCCCUCGGGGCAGGAACAACUGAUAAUGGUAUCACGCAAGAAAGCCCACUUGUGUAAAAAAACAUCACGCGAAGUCGAACGAUUCUUUGCUAUUACUACAAAAUAGAGCAACUCUCACAAUACUAAAGAUAACCGGGAAAUGUGAAUCGAAAGACCUCUGUUUUCUUGAGGUUUGGUGAGUUUAAAAUCCGACACUAGACCCUAUAACAAAUUGCUUGGCCACUGGUUGAGUGAUCAUCUCGUAGCAAUUGGUCAAAAGAAACAAUAAACAUUUAUAGACAAUAGUCUAGUCCCUGCUGCGUGGUUAAAUGUCGCCAAUUAAGCAAAACGAAAGUUGAUUUCUAAACAUCACUCGAACAUGCUAGACACGACUGAUCUAUAUUUAAUUUGUGUGAGAAACUGACUUAUAUAUAACUGCCUGUUACUGGGGUAUUUAUUAGUCCAAAGAGUCAGGAAAUACAGUCAAUAGAGCACUAUCGAGGGGCUUUUUGACCGAGCAAGCUUUCCGGUGUGGAACAAACAGCUCCCGACAAGGUCUUCAAAGGAGAUAAGUGGGUGAAGUGAACUAAAAUAAGCAGCAAAGAUUUGAAUUGAACUUUGACUGAUUACAGACAAGUUGGUUAGCUAUACACCUCUGCAAAGUUUGAGGGUACACUAUACGUGGAGUCCGACCUUCUAAGUCGUCACCUCGCCAAGCCCAGAGGGUUCAGAAGACUGCUUUUGUGAGUACCUACAUUUCUUUGUAUUUACGGACUGAUCCGUGUAUGACUCGUUUAUCCAAUUUCGAUGUUGUUUUAAUCAUUACUGGUCUGUUAGCAACCAAACGAAACUGUUGAAUUUCAUUCCUUUUUGAAGUCGAAAAUCUAAUCGACAUGCUUGUCAACUGCGCUCAUCGGCUUUGCAUCUGCCAUCUUGUUGGACGAGUUAAAUAAUUAUCUGUCAAUUUCAUACCACGACCCGGCCACAUAUCUACCGGAGCCGAGCCGACUGCCACCUUAUACAUCGUCUCAACAAAACAUUUUGCCUUCUUUAAUAACAUUGGACCAUAUCCGGCUGGAAUUUCGUUCAAAAGUUAAGGAGUUUUAUAGGAACGAAGGUUGGGAAAAACGGACCGCAUAGUAUCAUACAAUUUCUGUACUGUAGUAAUGAAAGCCGCGAGGUCAAGACUAUAACGAGAUCGCUUUCGCUGUUGAUUUGCAAAUUUGGAUCUCCGUUUUAUGGUUUUGCUCCCAAUUAACAAAGGAAAAUAUUUUAUUGCACUUGGUUUGUUAUUUAACAGCGAAACAACGUUUAUGAGGAAUGGAAAAUAAAAUGAUGGAUUAAUAUUACACGAGAGACAUCAUAAAACACCCUGAAAACAACUGUGAAAUUUGAGGUUCUGGUAUUCCGGGCGGUAUAUAUAACUCGCACACAGUAGUUCUUUUUCCAUAGCAUCACAAGGAAGCAGAAGAAGCAAACUGAAUUAGAAAGAAAAUGAUGAAAAGUUAAUAUCUUAAUGAUAAUAUUGCCUACUCGACUCGUGACCUCGGAGAAAUCUCUGGAGUAAGAGAACACCGUCCUUGUUUGACCUGUUAAUAAUCUAAGCCUCUCAGGAUUACGCUUGAUUCUGACUAAAACGCUGAAAACGCCACACAAAAGUAUGUUUUGACAUUUCAGAGAUGCAAGGGAAUUUUUUAGAGUAAAGCCGUGAGAAUCAUGAGAUUUGAGACGUAGUGUCUUUCAAUCAAAGGAUCGGCUGAACAUCAAAUUACAAGCAACUCCGAAAACAACCAAGGAGGUGAUCAGAAUUCUAAUUAUAGACCAAAAACAAGAGAACAAGAUGGUCAAGAUUUACAGAUUACCGCACAAUCUUUGAGUUAAUUGAAUUAGAAUUAGAUGGAGAAUUGACGAAAUCACAUGAAAAAUUUAAAAAAAGUAGGAGAAAUAAUGCAGGUCUACGUUGUUCCCUAUCAUGAACGACAACCUCGUAAUGUUUUAAUAACAAAAUAUUUUAAAAGUUUUAUUUUGUCAGUCGCUAUCCAUUGACCCACCUUUCAUCCUCCGUUAAGUCUUAUUCGAUGAAUGAUCAAAAACACAAUUAAUUAACUGAGUUAUCAGUUCGAUAUUUUGAUCCAAUCGAUUGAUUCCAGUAUCUUCUUGACAGAAAGGCAUAGCUUGUCUCGCCCGAAAUUAGAGGAACAAUCGAACAAAACAUGUUUCAUAUGUUCCUGCGAAAAUACAAAAUACCAGUAAAUGAAACCUGAGGAAGUUAACUUCUCGAUGGGUGUUAUUUCCUUUGCCGAAUUCUCUGGAGGACAGUCAAAAGCGACAACUUGACCUUUUGCGUCUAGUUUGAAGCGGUGAAAAACGAGACAAAAAUACCACAUCACGAUAGCAAAAAGCUAAGUUUAUAGACUAAUAAAUACUUAAAUAACUUUGUCAUCUCAUGAGGCGAGAUUGCACAUUAAAUGGUUUUAGCUUCGAAGGCCUGAAUAUUUUCCUUUCCUGUCACAGACAAUCAAGUUUUCAAUAAACACAACCUGGAACUUUCAUUUAGCUACAUUUAUGUGCCAUGAGGUCAGAAAAUAGCCUAGGAGAAAGCAACUUGGACACAGACUUUGUGUCGCUCGUAGAUAUUUCAAAUGACAUUUUUGCAACUUGGUGUGUUAAUUUAAAGUCUAUUUAUCACCGCUAAUUCAUUCUAAGAUAAGUAGCACUGCCUUUGCCUUCGACCCGCUUUUACGUUUUUUUCUUUUUUUUUUUGUUAAGUGAGCCACAACAGGACGAAUUGAGGGCAUCGGUCGAAAUGUCGAGAUAAAAAAAAAUUAAAAAGCAUUUUGUUUCAGUCUAGCUGUCCUCACCUCGGUUACUAAGUAAGUACAUGCACACAUGCAAUCAACAUCUGGUCACAAAGAUAUUCCUCGAGCCGAACUGAAAAAGAAUGACAUCUUGACAGUCACGCACAAAGAGGACGCAUUGCUGAUGGAAGAUUAUAACGUUUCCAGCAUCAAGAUGUCUUAAAAAUAAAGGUAGGGUUUCACUUUAAUUUUACACUUCGCAACAAACAAUUCAAACGGAUAUUUACGACAUGUUUUUUAUUAGUGUAUCUGGAUGUCUAUUUCGCUCGCAUUUUACAUUUUGAAUUCAAACUGAAAGUUCUGUUGACGUACAAUGAUCUAACUAUACGUAAUACAUAGCUUGAAUCUUUGAACGGAAGUCAACAACACUCAAAGAUGAAUGAAUGAAUGAAACUUUACUGCACACUCCCAAAAAUGGGUUUUCCAGUGAACAAUACAAAUACAGAUUCUAAGCAAGCUUUUUUCAACAUUCGUGAAUUCCUAGCUUGUUCCAAAAGUAAGCUUUUAAAACAAAGGGGCCUCUUAUAUAUAAGUAUGAUUCACCAGUAAAAUGCUGAAUUAUCAGUUUUCAUCUCAAUUCGAACGGCAGGUCAAACUGCAUUGCCUAGAGCCAUCCGUGCGCUAGGUCAAACCUGGAGUUCACUGAGUUGAUCAUUACGCCAGAUUUGUAUGUCAACACCUGAAUUUGGAGACUUCUUGCUUCCAAGCAGAUUUUAAUCCAGUACGCGGCUUCUUCAGCGGUGUUUACAAUGCAUGGUGUCCCUGAAAGGCUUGUCUUUUGCCUUCUGGUCUGCUCUUAUUUUUGGCUCGUCAAUGGCAAAACUCGUCAGAUCGAUUCAAGUCAUCAUUCCAGAUUGGCCCGGCAAGUCAGGGAAAUCAGGUCACAUCGAGAUACUCGUCAAGCCCGUCGAAAUCGUCAGUCAGAUCAACCCGAGACGAAAUGUAAUUACAGCAUCGCUCUGCUAGACUUUCCACCUUACAUUAUGAACUCAAGCGUUGAAAAGGGCUUUAUGUACGACAAAAUAAAGUGGUUUGUAGACUUUACGUGCUUCGACAGACAAGAAAAUGAUCAAGAAGCUUGCAAAAUGGUGCCCAUAUAUGUCCGUAGUUGGGUGGAGAUCGUUGAAUUGAUCAAAAACAAGAGCGUGGAUUUCGCUUUUCCCAUUCAAGCGGACGCGAAGGCAGCGCUUAACGGUAAAUCCGAUGAGACGCUCAUCCGUGCAUUUGUAUCAUCGGGUUGUUCAAUGAUUGUAAACACUAAAAUAUGUGAGGCUGAGUCGCGGGAACAGUUAUUGACUUCUAUUACGUCACAGUGGCCAAUCCUUGCCUGUAUCAUACUGCUAUCUGGGAUUUCUGGAGUUGUUAUCUGGCUACUGGUGAGAAGCUAGUGCUUAAAUUAACUUAGCUUAUGAUAUUUGCUUUGUUUUUCUUGUGGAUGAAAG